UGGUAACCCGCGUUAGGGAUUGCAGCGAAAAGCCCACAGCGACCCCGACGUUUCGGGGGAGCGAGAACUUGUAGCGUAAAGCCCGACCCGAA
rnacentral:sRNA from 1 species